rnacentral:lncRNA from 1 species
GGCUCCAUCACUCCCCGUAACAGGCUCCACGCGGCAGGCCGCAGUAAUGGCCACGAUUCUGCUCCACUUCCUACGACGGAUACUACGCAGCUCCACCACUCCCUAGCGGGUCGCGACAACGGACGUCGCUCCACUCUCCACAACAGACUCCACGUUGCGAGCCAUGGUGACAGCCACGACUCUACCGCAUUACUCUUUAUAAUAAAUUCCUCCUGGCCCCGAGCGGCCCACUACUAGGCGGU